rnacentral:rRNA from 1 species
AGUGAACGCUGGCGGUAGGCCUAACACAUGCAAGUCGAACGGCAGCACAGAGGAGCUUGCUCCUUGGGUGGCGAGUGGCGGACGGGUGAGGAAUACAUCGGAAUCUACUCUGUCGUGGGGGAUAACGUAGGGAAUCUUACGCUAAUACCGCAUACGACCUACGGGUGAAAGCAGGGGACCUUCGGGCCUUGCGCGAUUGAAUGAGCCGAUGUCGGAUUAGCUAGUUGGCGGGGUAAAGGCCCACCAAGGCGACGAUCCGUAGCUGGUCUGAGAGGAGAAUCAGCACCACGGGACCUGGGACACGGUCCAGACUCCUAAGGGAGGCAGCAGUGGGGAAUAUUGGACAGUGGGCGCAAGCCUGAUCCAGCCAUAACGCGUGGGUGAAGAAGGCCUUCGGGUUGUAAAGCCCUUUUGUUGGGAAAGAAAUCCAGCUGGCUAAUACCCGGUUGGGAUGACGGUACCCAAAGAAUAAGCACCGGCUAACUUCGUGCCAGCCGCCGCAGUAA